rnacentral:rRNA from 1 species
AACGAACGCUGGCGGCAGGCUUAACACAUGCAAGUCGAACGCACCGCAAGGUGAGUGGCAGACGGGUGAGUAACACGUGGGGAUCUGCCCAAUGGUACGGAAUAGCUCCGGGAAACUGGAAUUAAUACCGUAUGAGCCCGCAAGGGGAAAGAUUUAUCGCCAUCGGAUGAACCCGCGUCGGAUUAGCUAGUUGGUGUGGUAAAGGCGCACCAAGGCGACGAUCCGUAGCUGGUCUGAGAGGAUGAGCAGCCACACUGGUACUGAGACACGGCCCAGACUCCUACGGGAGGCAGCAGUGGGGAAUAUUGGACAAUGGGCGCAAGCCUGAUCCAGCCAUGCCGCGUGAGUGAUGAAGGCCUUAGGGUUGUAAAGCUCUUUCGCCGACGAAGAUAACGACGGUAGUCGGAGAAGAAGCCCCGGCUAACUUCGUGCCAGCCGCCGCCGUAAGAC